rnacentral:lncRNA from 1 species
GCCCCGAUGUCUCAUGUAUGAGAUUUAUGUAGAAACCUGUGGGCAGAGUGCUCAGAACCAAGUCAAUCCAGCGACAUUUGGGAAGCUCGUGCGUUUGGUUUUCCCCGAUCUGGGCACCCGGAGGCUGGGCACACGAGGAAGUGCCAGGUAUCAUUACGACGGGAUCUAUAUCAAGAAGAGCUCCUUCUUCUAUGCUCAUUACUGCUACCUGCUGGGUAAAAAGAGCUGUCACAGUACAUCCCCACUGAGAUGACCCAUGGGAGCCUCACACCCAGGGUGCGGAAGCUUCAGCUCAGAGCCUCCCUAGAAAUCGCCUCCACCUCACUUUUCCGUGACGACGCUCGUGCCGAGCUCCACUCCCGUCCCGCCCCACCCCAUCCCCGAACGCCAUUGGGCUGCAAACCCUUCUUCAC